UCUCAAAUGGCUCUUGAGGUCGCUGUCAAGGCCGCUUUGGGCGCCCCUCAUCUUCUCGGCGAUUGCCCUUCCAGCCAAAGGAUUCUUCUAACCUUGGAGGAGAAGAAAGUGCCCUACAAAUUGCACUUAAUCAAUCUUAGCGACAAACCCAGUGGUUUACGGAAGUGAAUCCAGAAGGGAAGGUGUCUGUCACUGAGGAUAAACUUUUUGUCUUCACGUUAGCACUAUUGCUUUUUCCUACCAGUCAUUGGUGUGCUAAUAGUGUUGAGAACAAUGCCUAAUUUAGUUUAACUCUUCUCAUUUUGAUAAUUACCUUUUCCACUGCCUUCUUGAACUUGGAAUUAGUUUGAUAGCAUUUUGGUUUUAAGCGUUUAUAAAAUAUUUCAUUCCAAUGAAUAAGUCAUUGAUCUAUUAACUCUUAUUUGUUGAAGAUUUAGUGCUAAAAGCUAUGAGUUACAAGUAUUACAUUCCAUUCACCAAGUCAUUGAUAUAUUUAAUUCUUAUUCGCUAGAGGAUUGAUAUUUUAACUCUUCUCAUCUUUGCUGCAGCCAAUAACAAGAAUAAACAUUCUCCAUUGCUUCGCCCGACUCUACCAACAAAUUGAAACCUAAACAUUAAAAUUUCAUGACAACGAUUUCACCCAUUUAUCAUAAAAUUGGUAGACAUAACUUCAUACCAUCUCAGAGCAGAAAUAAAGGUUUUAAUUUUCUUUUACUCUGUUAUUGCUCACUCUCUGCUUAAUUUUCCUCAAUUUAAGUCUCCAAACAAGCUACUGUUUGUAAGUCCUAUCAAUCUUCAAUUUUUAUUUUUCUUGCUUUGAUUUCAGUUCUUUUAUUACUAAUUUUAAUCAUUUGUGUCCACUACUGAUAUCUUGUUAUGUUAGUUUGAAAAUGUGUCCCUUUGAAUUUUAAAAUUUGGCAAAUUAUUUGAAGCAAUUCUAAUUUUAGCUUUAUGGACUUUACAAAUAGGAAGAUGAGGAGACAAAAAGAAGUACAAGGGGAUGCAUUUAGCUUCCACUUUUGAGGUUCCAGGCACCCAAAAUCUGUCAUACUGGUACCCUAGAAUUAACAAUGUAGCUGGAGUUCUCCACUGGCUUAAGCACAGUGGAGAACUCAAGUACAAAACUCUCUAUCUGUUUCUCAAUCCUGGAACCUUUGGCCUCUGCAAGAAGAAGCAAUUUGAAGGAUUAAAAUGUUGUCAUUUGGUAUAGAUGAUUGUGGUUUAGCAAAUUGAUAGUGAGAUGGAACACUCCUAACUAUGUUAUUAUGGUUUUCUUGGGCUGCUGCAACUUAACGGUGUGUUCAGCCAUGGAUUCUGCUUCUGUGAAAACGUUCCUGCUCGAUGUUAGAGCUUCUGCGAAUUCGUUGUUGUCGCAGUACGAGCCUCUGGUUCUGGUUUCUGCUGCUCUCUUUGCUCUCCUUGCUCUCCUUGUCUCUUCCACGCUUCAAUCGGCUAUCCAUGGCCUGCGGGAGAAGGGACUCAAAGCCACACUCCUAGGGUUCUUCAUGAGCUCCAUCAAGUUGGUUCCUGGCGUCAAGAGUUGCAUCGAAGCUGGGAAGCAAAAGGUCUGUUUUUUUAUAUAUAAAGAUUUCACCUUUAUUUCAAUUUCUAUUUUUUUGUUUUAAAUUUUGAUUUCUGGCGCCUGUUGGCUGGUUUCUGCUGCCAAUUUAUGCAUUUUCUUGAGAGAGUGAAUAUUAGUGCCACACAGGACUGUGCAUUUUGUUGUCUCUUGAAAGAUGAACAUUCAAUGCAGUUUGUUCAGAGGCUGUUGAUGUGCAAUCAAUAGCUCAGUUGUGAUU